ACCAGGACCAGUUCCUUUCUGCUGAGUAACUGCAGGGACACGGCGGAUUUAUUUUCUUGGCUCGACUGGCAUGAACUGGAGAACAGGGGUGCAUUUGAGGGGCAGUGGACCUCACACCAUGUGUUCUAGAUCCCGUGGCUGACUUCGGCACUGUGAAUGCAACAGCGCAGCAGCCAUGGGCAGGGGAGACUGACCACUGGGCCGCCCGCCACGCACAGUUCACGUGUCCACCAGGACAGCAGCCAGAGACACCCUCGGCUUUGCUCGAGUGGCUGCAUUACAUUGUUAUAAACAGACCCAUCUCCGCAAAG
rnacentral:lncRNA from 1 species